rnacentral:rRNA from 1 species
CACGUAGGGUGCGAGCGUUGUCCGGAAUUAUUGGGCGUAAAGAGCUCGUAGGCGGUGUGUCGCGUCGGCCGUGAAAACCUGCAGCUUAACUGUGGGCUUGCGGUGGAUACGGGCAGACUUGAGAUCGGUAGGGGAGACUGGAAUUCCUGGUGUAGCGGUGAAAUGCGCAGAUAUCAGGAGGAACACCGGUGGCGAAGGCGGGUCUCUGGGCCGAUACUGACGCUGAGGAGCGAAAGCGUGGGGAGCGAACAGG